rnacentral:lncRNA from 1 species
CCCUUCCGAGGAGGCGGUGCUGGGGCGGGCGCAGGACUGCAGGCUGGGGCUCCGCUCCCCGGCGGGAGCCCGCGCGUGGUUCCCAGCGAAGUCCCCGCGCGGCUGGGCCCAGCCCGUGUGAAGAUGUGCCUGCUUCGCCUUCCAUCAUGACUGAAGUUUCCUGAGGCCUCCCCAGCUAUGCUCCCUAUACAGCCUGCAGAACGGUCGGCUGCCUCCAAUCCUGAGGUCAUCACUCAUCAAGAGGGGAUAAUCCCAGGGACAGCAGGAUCUGCUUCGUUACUUGGAUUUAGGAGCCAGAAACCCAUCAGGCAACUAAACAGUAACAAUGACCCGCCAUUAAACACACUGAGAGAAGAGCAUGAUGAAGAGUUUGUACAAGAAGAAGCCAGGAGCACUUGCUGACAAUGCUUACAGAGACGCAGGCUUCUAUGAGCUCUGCCUGUUGAACUGCAGUAAAAAUAGAUCUCCUUCCCCAGAGAGGCUUGGAUGUGGGCACAAUAUCAGUUCAGACGAUGGUCAAUGCAUGUACUUAAUAGAGUGAAAAGACUUUGGACUGUGAAGUCAGAUUACCUGGGUCUGAAUUGUUAUUCUUCUACUUCUUUGUAGUAUGCUUUCACCACAUUAAAAAUUGUCUGAGCCUCAAUUUUUUUAUCUGCAAAAUGGAGCUAAUACCUACACAGGGGCUUUUAAGAGAAUCAAAUGCAACAAUGUUUGAAAAGCAACAUACUCCCCUUUAUGGAAAAAGAGCCUGUAAAGGAACCAAUACAAUGGCUGGGCGUGGUGACUCACACCUGUAAUCCUAGCACUUUGGGAGGCCGAGGUGGGUGGAUUGCCUGAGCUCAGGAGUUCGAGACCAGCCUGGGCAACAUGGUGAAACCCCGACUCUACUAAAAUACAAAAGAUUAUCCUGGCGUGGUGGUGUGCACCUGUUAUCUAAGCUACUUGGGAGGUUGAAGCAGGAGAAUUGCUGGAACCUGGGAGGCAGAGGUUGCAGUGAGCCAAGAUCACACCACUACACUCCAGCCUGAGUGACACAAGACUGUGUCUCAAAAAUAAAUAAAUGAAUAAGUAAAUAAAUACAAAAUAAAUAAAAUAAAGGAACCAAUACAACAAA